UACGUAGGGUGCGAGCGUUGUCCGGAAUUAUUGGGCGUAAAGAGCUCGUAGGCGGCUCAGUAAGUCGGGUGUGAAACCUCCAGGCUCAACCUGGAGACGCCACCUGAUACUGCUGUGGCUAGAGUCCGGUAGGGGAGCGUGGAAUUCCUGGUGUAGCGGUGAAAUGCGCAGAUAUCAGGAGGAACACCAGCGGCGAAGGCGGCGCUCUGGGCCGGAACUGACGCUGAGGAGCGAAAGCGUGGGUAGCAAACAGG
rnacentral:rRNA from 1 species